GGGUCAGUAGGUUGGUCGUGCCACCGGUACGUACUGGUCUCACUGAUUCCUCCUUCCUGAAGAACCGUAAUGCCAUUAAUUUGGUGUUGCGGGGAAACAGGACUGUUACUUUGAAAAAAUUAGAGUGUUUAGAGCAAGCUAACGCUUGAAUACAUUAGCAUGGAAUAAUGAAAUAGGACGAUCGAUCCUCUUUUGUUGGUUUCUAGGAUUGACGUA
rnacentral:rRNA from 1 species